rnacentral:rRNA from 1 species
UACGGAGGGUGCGAGCGUUGUUCGGAAUCACUGGGCGUAAAGGGCGUGUAGGCGGUCCGCUAAGUCUGAUGUGAAAGCCCGGGGCUCACCCCCGGAAGGGCAUUGGAAACUGACGGACUCGAGUCCCGAAGAGGAGGGUGGAAUUCCUGGUGUAGCGGUGAAAUGCGUAGAUAUCAGGAAGAACACCCGUGGCGAAAGCGGCUCUCUGGAACGGUACUGACGCUGAGACGCGAAAGCGUGGGGAGCGAACAGG